GAAAGAGCUCAGUGGUAGAGUGCAUGUUUAGCAUGCACAAGGUCCUGGGUUUAAAUCCCAGUACUUUCA
rnacentral:tRNA from 1 species